rnacentral:rRNA from 1 species
AUUGAACGCUGGCGGCAGGCCUAACACAUGCAAGUCGAGCGAGCGGCGGACGGGUGAGUAAUGUAUGGGGACUGCCCGAUAGAGGGGGAUAACUACUGGAAACGGUGGCUAAUACCGCAUACUAUCGGAUAACCCAUAUGGGAUUAGCUAGUAGGUGGGGUAAAGGCUCACCUAGGCGACGAGCUCUGGCUGGUCUGAUAGGAUGAUCAGCCACACUGGAACUGAGACACGGCCCAGCGUCCUAGGGAGGGAGGAGUGGGGAAAAUUGCACAAUGGGCGCAAGGCGGAUGCAGCCAGGCCGCGUGUAUGAAGAAGGCCUUAGGGUUGUAAAGUACUUUCAGCGGGGAGGCGUUACCCGCAGAAGAAGCACCGGCUAACUCCGUGCCAGCAGCCGCGGUAAUUC